GCAGACCCAGAUUCACUGGCCUGAGUCUGGUUCAUUGCCCCCACAAAAGUUGUGAAUUGGUUUGUUGGGUCAGGCUGGACCCUGGUUCAUCAGCAGCCUUCAUUACAAACAAUACAAUUAUAAUUGUUAUGGUGCUCUAAAAGGUAUUUUUAAAGUCGGGGUGCAUAGGAAAUAUGUUGAAAUACAUUCUGCAUUUUGGAGAGAAGAGAGGCUCAUGGAAAGGAAUAUAUUUCUUGUGUAGUUUUUCUUUUCAGACAGAUGCAGUUUGUGUAUGUCAAAUAUAUAUUCCUUGCAAAAAGGCUUUUGGUACAUUUAAUACUUCACAUCCAAAAUUAACGGUCAUUUGUAUGAAGAAUAAGAAUAUUAGCUCUCACAAUACCCUAUUCAAGAAUGGGAGAAAACUAUAAAACCAUGAAAAGUGAUAAUAUAAAAUUAUUGAAAUAAAACAAGGAAUGGCAUGAAUGCAGAAUUAUCAUAAAGAGAGAAUAUGUACAAUAACAAUACUCAAUAAGAGACCCUUGCUGAGAUUGUACUCUAGAGAUGUGGGAGGGGAAGGGCAGUUUUGCUAAUAAUGCUGUGAGGUCGGCACUGAUUUUUCUUCAAUUAUGGGCUGGUCCGAUCCAGUAACCUUGAAAUAAUCAAGUGAAUUUUGUACCCCACUUCCAUGAUCUUCCUGUUAUCUGGCCACUUCAUUUAGUUCUUAGACAUCUUAGAUAGCUUAAUGAAAAAAGGUGCAAUAUUUAGGGUUUACAAGAUUAAAAAAAAGAAAAUACGGAAAAGGAAGGGAGAAGUAAGAUGAAAGAAGGGGUCCAGUUCUUUAAUCGAGUUCUUCCUAGUACUGUUGUUUCCCAUAUUAAAAAAUGUCUCAUGGCUUCUAUCAGACUAUUCCUCGAGGAAAGUACUCAACCAGCACGAAACAAAUACAGUCUAUCUAGGGUCUACAUUUCUUUUAUAUGUGUCUGCCACCUCAUUCUCUUUUGAUCCUCUUUUUUAUUAGGAAUUUUCACAUAAAACCCCCAAAACGUGUUUUUUGCUUAUUUUCCUCUCAAAGUGGAAAGUGCACAUAUACCACGUCUAAGUCUGACACUUGCAUGUUGACACUCCAAAAAUCUGAAACCUAAAUGCAUACCAUUGUAGUUAGAUUAUAUCAUCAGAAACAGAAAGGGACAUGACAUGAUUAACCUAAUGUAGCUCCUUAUACUAUAGUUUCC
rnacentral:lncRNA from 1 species